CAGAAAUAUAUUUACACCUGGAAACAUAAAACCUGUGUCUGUAACGUCCCCCCCCCUUCGCUUUUAUUCACUGCUUUUAAACCGCACUUUGGUCGCUGUUGGGGACCGAGGGAGCGGGGACAAAGUUCACAGGGUGCUCGUAAGGAGGAGGAGGGGGUGAAGAGGAGGAAGGUAAAAAAAAAAGAAAAUUGACCUUUGAAAGCAAAACAGCAGGUGGAGAGCGAAACACCAGGCAGCUCGGGACACGUCGGGGGGAGAUUGAACGGGAAAAUGAAAGUAUCCGCUCUCCGGAGCUGAAGUUGGGGGACUGCGAGUAUAAUGAGGCCGUAAGCUGCUCGCCGUCUGAGCGUGCACAAGGUGUUUAGUCUGAGGCGAGUCACAGCGAAUGGAGGAGAGGACGGAGGAGAGGCCCGCGGCGGCCGAGGGGAGGCCGAGCCGACUGACUGCCCUUCAGGAGCAGCUGAUCUGGGCCCUGUUGGGGUCCGGCCUGUCCCGGGACGUCCUGGUGCAAGCCGUCGGGGAGCUGGAGCGGGAGAGAGGGCCGAGUGCCGGCGGCGAGAAGGGCGACGGCGGCGAGAGCUCAGAGGAAGGGGAGAUGGACUUCCCGCCGCCGAUCUACCGAGAGCUGGAGAAGCUUUCCCCGGAGGAGUCGGCCAAGCUGAGGGCUGAAGUGGACCAGCUCCUGCAGGGGGAUCCCUGGCACGUUGCGAAGAUGGUGAAGAGCUACAUGCAGCAGCACAACCUCCCUCAGAGAGAGGUGGUAGAGUCCACCGGGCUCAACCAGUCCCACCUGUCCCAGCACCUGAACAAGGGAACGCCCAUGAAGAACCAGAAGAGAGCGGCGCUGUACACCUGGUACGUCAAGAAGCAGUGCGAGAUCAGCCAGCAGUUCACCAACGCCAAACACGGCCUGGCGUCUGCGGAGGAGCCGGGAGAGGACGUCAGGAAGGGCCGCAGGAACCGGUUCAAAUGGGGUCCGGCGUCCCUGCAGAUCCUCUUUCACGCCUACGAACGGCAGAAGAACCCCAGCAAGGAGGAGAGAGAGGGAUUAGUGGAGGAGUGCAACAGGGCGGAGUGCCUCCAGAGGGGCGUGUCUCCCUCCCAGCUCGCCGGUCUGGGCUCCAACCUGGUCACCGAGGUCCGGGUGUACAACUGGUUCGCCAACCGCCGUAAAGAGGAGGCGUUCCGUCACAAACUGGCUCUGGACACACCUUACAGCAACCAGUCCGCCACCUCCUCUCACGCCAACCUCCCGCCGAGUCCCGAGCACGGUGUGAAGUACAGCCAGCAGCUCCUGUGUGACACUGUGAGCUCGGCCAGAGGUGGCGGCGGCGAGCGGGUGGGACGCCUCGUGGGCAGUCCCGUCCAACUGGAGCCCAGCCACACACUCCUUGAGACUCACAACGCCAAGCAGGUGAGUGGCGGCGGCGGUGGCGGUGACGUCCCGCUCCCAGAGUUCAUUAUGUCCAUCUGUUGCCAUGGUGACCGUGUUUUUACCUUCUGGUCUCAGGUGUCCAGUGGCGGCCCGCUGCCCCCCGUGAGCACUCUGACCUCGCUGCACAGCCUGACCGCCGCGCCCACGUCCUCGCAGAGCCUCAUCAUGGCCUCGCUGCCCGGCGUCAUGAGCCUGGGGGAGUCCUCGCUGCUCAUCGGUUUGGCGUCCACGCAGCCGCAGUCGGUCGGCGGCGGGUUCACGACCCUCCAGCCGAUCUCCUUCCAGCAGCAGCUUCACGCCUCCUCCCAGCAGCAGAUAUCCCAGCAGCUCCAGGGGCACAUGGGCGCCAGUCCCUUCAUGGCCACCAUGGCGCCGCUGCCCUGUCAUAUGUACAACAAGUUGGACUCGCCCCAGUACCACUCGUCCAGCCUGCUCUCUCAGGCCAUGGUCAUCGCUGACAGCAGUGGACUCGGGACGCUGACGAGCCUCGCCACCGUCAGACAGGUAGGUACCUGUGGGUCAGGUGGGUUCCUGUGGGUCAGGUGGGUCAGGUGGGUUCCUGUGGGUCAAGUAGGUAACUGUAGGUCAGAUGGGUUCCUGUGGGUCAGGUGGGUUCCUGUGGGUCAGGUGGGUUCCUGUGGGUCAGGUGGGUUCCUGUGGGUUCCUGUGGGUCAGGUAGGUAACUGUAGGUCAGAUGGGUUCCUGUGGGUCAGGUGGGUUCCUGUGGGUUCCUGUAGGUCAGGUGGGUUCCUGUGGGUCAGGUGGGUUCCUGUGGGUCAGGUGGGUCAGGUGGGUUCCUGUGGGUCAGGUGGGUUCCUGUGGGUCAGGUGGGUAACUGUAGGUCAGAUGGGUUCCUGUGGGUCAGGUGGGUUCCUGUGGGUUCCUGUAGGUCAGGUGGGUCAGGUGGGUUCCUGUAGGUCCUGUGGGUCAGGUGGGUUCCUGUGGGUCAGGUGGGUACCUGUGGGUCAGGUGGGUACCUGUGGGUCAGGUGUGUCAGGUGGGUACCUGUGGGUCAGGUGGGUACCUGUGGGUCAGGUGGGUACCUGUGGGUCAGGUGGGUUCCUGUGGGUCAGGUGGGUACCUGUGGAUCAGAUGGGUUCCUGUGGGUCAGGUGGGUUCCUGUGGGUCAGGUGGGUUCCUGUGGGUCAGGUGGGUUCCUGUAGGUCAGGUGGGUUCCUGUGGGUCAGGUGUGUACCUGUAGGUCAGGUGGGUCAGGUGGGUACCUGUGGGUCAGGUGGGUCAGGUGGGUACCUGUGGGUCAGGUGGGUUCCUGUGGGUCAGGUGGGUUCCUGUGGGUCAGGUGGGUCAGCCGGUAAAGUGUCAAUUAAUAUAAAAACUGUUUUAUGUUCUGAGCUAGAUUCUAACGACUGAUCCGGAGGAGCAGACGGACUCACCUUUACAAGACGACUCUCUGCACCUGCAGCCGCACACACCUGUGCCAGCGUCUUCGGGGAGUCUGGAGCUGUAUCCUGCCUCUCAGACGACAGACAGCCACCCGUCUCACCUCCUCUCGCCCUCGCCCACAGACCUCGGCUCCUACAUUCCUACACAGAUGGUGUCUACGGCGCAGUGAAGGAGCUCCUCGCCGUCAG